rnacentral:rRNA from 1 species
GGGUGAGUAACACGUGAGUAACCUGCCCUCCACUUUGGGAUAACCAUUGGAAACGGUGGCUAAUACUGGAUAUGACGACUACUCGCAUGGGUGGUUGUGGAAAGCUUUAGUGGUGGGGGAUGGACUCGCGGCCUAUCAGCUUGUUGGUGGGGUAAUGGCCUACCAAGGCGACGACGGGUAGCCGGCCUGAGAGGGCGACCGGCCACACUGGGACUGAGACACGGCCCAGACUCCUACGGGAGGCAGCAGUGGGGAAUAUUGCACAAUGGGCGAAAGCCUGAUGCAGCGACGCCGCGUGGGGGAUGAAGGCCUUCGGGUUGUAAACCCCUUUCAGUAAGGAACAAGGCCAUGCGUAUGUGUGGUUGAGGGUACUUGCAGAAGAAGCGCCGGCUAACUACGUGCCAGCAGCCGCGGUAAUACGUAGGGCGCAAGCGUUGUCCGGAAUUAUUGGGCGUAAAGAGCUCGUAGGCGGCUUGUCGCGUCUGCCGUGAAAGUCUAAGGCUUAACCUUAGAUCUGCGGUGGGUACGGGCAGGCUAGAGUGCGGUAGGGGUGACUGGAAUUCCUGGUGUAGCGGUGGAAUGCGCAGAUAUCAGGAGGAACACCGAUGGCGAAGGCAGGUCACUGGGCCGCAACUGACGCUGAGGAGCGAAAGCAUGGGGAGCGAACAGGAUUAGAUACCCUGGUAGUCCAUGCCGUAAACGUUGGGCACUAGGUGUGGGGCUCAUUCCACGAGUUCCGCGCCGUAGCUAACGCAUUAAGUGCCCCGCCUGGGGAGUACGGCCGCAAGGCUAAAACUCAAAGGAAUUGAC